AGCCUAUUAAUCUUGUGACUUAUAUUAAAGCUGUCCUUUUGAAAUGCCUGCAGAUCGUGCACAUGAACAUUUGAUUGUUGAAAACUCUUGCCAGGUGCAAAGUGAAAAUUACCAGCCACCUUAUUAACUUCCAAAAAUCCAUAAAUAUUGCAUCCUUCACCUUCCUCAUCCUUGAUCCUUUGUAGAAAACCUUCCCUUUUGCACUGGUCAAUCAAAUCCGGAUUUGACAGUGCCCAACCUUUCUUACGAUAUGCUUCACGAACUUCCUCACAAGAAUUACAACAGUCCUCAUCUGACGCUUCAGCACCAUAACAUGAACCACAAUAUGUCUCAUUAUGAUCAAGCCUGCCGCCAUGUCUCUGCAAAGGCUUUUCAAUCUUAGGAGCACCGAUACCGUCUUGUCGUGCUUCUAUUACAUUGCCAUGAGAAUCUAGUCUUUUCUUGAUAAUAUCAUGUUUUACAUCAAGAUGCUGCUCCCCACUGAUGUCCAUGGCAUCAAGGCUAAGAAUAGAACAUGGAAGGGCUGGAAAAGUGACGUCAAAAUUUAUACGUAAAGUUUCGCCUCUUGAAGUAUCCACUACAAGCUUUGUUUCAGUGACAGCAUGGAGAUACAAUCGGAGCUCGGAGAUGAAGAGGAGAAGCAUGACGAUAGA
rnacentral:misc_RNA from 1 species